rnacentral:rRNA from 1 species
UACGUAGGGGGCAAGCGUUGUCCGGAAUCAUUGGGCGUAAAGAGCGUGUAGGCGGUUCGGUAAGUCGGCUGUGAAAGUCCAGGGCUCAACCCUGGGAUGCCGGUCGAUACUGCCGGACUAGAGUCCGGAAGAGGCGAGUGGAACUCCUGGUGUAGCGGUGGAAUGCGCAGAUAUCAGGAAGAACACCAACGGCGAAGGCAGCUCGCUGGGACGGAACUGACGCUAAGGCGCGAAAGCGUGGGGAGCGAACAGG